GUGGCAUACUUAAAUACAGGAAUGUCGUCGUCGUCUUCUUUGGCAUGUGAUCCAAUACAGAUCAGGAAUAAUUCUGACAAAGUAAUUAAACACGUGCGUAAGGCAGAAAUGUCCCAAAAGGAUGAACACAUCAAUACAUGAAUCGUAGACACUUGCGUGGGUGUGCUGGAAGAUCUGCAGCUGGAGACAGCACUCUGUUGGUUCUGUCUAUCAGUCCAGCCAAGGCAACAAGCUGCAUAACC